rnacentral:rRNA from 1 species
AGCGGCGAACGGGUGAGUAACACGUGAGCAACCUGCCCCUGACUCCGGGAUAAGCGGUGGAAACGCCGUCUAAUACCGGAUACGACCCGCCACCUCAUGGUGGAGGGUGGAAAGUUUUUCGGUCAGGGAUGGGCUCGCGGCCUAUCAGCUUGUUGGUGGGGUAACGGCCUACCAAGGCGAUUACGGGUAGCCGGCCUGAGAGGGCGACCGGCCACACUGGGACUGAGACACGGCCCAGACUCCUGCGGGAGGCAGCAGUGGGGAAUAUUGCGCAAUGGGCGAAAGCCUGACGCAGCGACGCCGCGUGGGGGAUGACGGCCUUCGGGUUGUAAACCUCUUUUACCACCAACGCAGGCUCCCAGUUCUCUGGGGGUUGACGGUAGGUGGGGAAUAAGGACCGGCUAACUACGUGCCAGCAGCCGCGGUAAUACGUAGGGUCCGAGCGUUGUCCGGAAUUAUUGGGCGUAAAGAGCUCGUAGGCGGCGUGUCGCGUCUGCUGUGAAAGACCGGGGCUUAACUCCGGUUCUGCAGUGGAUACGGGCAUGCUAGAGGUAGGUAGGGGAGACUGGAAUUCCUGGUGUAGCGGUGAAAUGCGCAGAUAUCAGGAGGAACACCGGUGGCGAAGGCGGGUCUCUGGGCCUUACCUGACGCUGAGGAGCGAAAGCAUGGGGAGCGAACAGGAUUAGAUACCCUGGUAGUCCAUGCCGUAAACGUUGGGCGCUAGGUGUGGGGACUUUCCACGGUUUCCGCGCCGUAGCUAACGCAUUAAGCGCCCCGCCUGGGGAGUACGGCCGCAAGGCUAAAACUCAAAGGAAUU